AAACCUGCGAAACUCGAAUGAACGAACGGAGAGAUUCAUCGUCACUCCUCGGCGUACGCGGGCGCGCUCUGAUGUUGUCCGGUUCACCUUUAAACGGGUGAUGCGCGGGCUUCACGGGUCGCUCGCGUCGACGUCCGGGGACGGCGUGCACUUCUCUCUCAGUAAUACAUCGCGACCCGUUCGACGUCGGUCUAAGCGCCUAUUCGGGAGACCAGCGGUGGACUCUUAACGGGGUUAACCGUUGGACCGUGAUCGGUGGCCGACCGGCGGUCGGACGGUAGAAGACAUGAUACGCGCACGCGCUCUUAAAGCGCGUCCGGCCCGACGCAAGAUAACGCCGUAUACUCGACGUCCUGCCCGUGCGCGGACGUCGAUGCGGCGCGUCUGUCGUCGCCGCCGUGCAGUCUCGGACCGUGCGCGUCUCGGUCGGCGAUGAUUCAGUUUCGGGCACUCGCAGGAC
rnacentral:rRNA from 1 species